UGGAUUGAGCUUUCCAGAUCUUCAUAAAAAGAUCAGGCAAAGAUCAAAUCCGGGUGAGAUAGGAACCAUUGGCAUAAUGGUUAAGGCGGAGUGCCUAAAUAGCAUCAACUAGUUUCCAACUGGAAGCCAUGGUUUUGGGCCAACACAGCGGACUCCUUCUGGCUCAGCACGUCUGUGACUAUAUUUCCUCUACCAGGAUGGUAGAUGAUCUUGCAGUCAUAGUCCUUCAAGAGGUCCAUUUAAUGUCUCUAUCUCAUGUUCAACUCCCUCUGUGAGAAAAUAUACUUUCAACUUUUGUGGUCAAUGUA
rnacentral:lncRNA from 1 species